UAUCUUUGAUCGUAGAAUCUCUCGCGGUUGUUUUCACAAAAGUGUUUGUGUUCACCGGAAUCAGAUAAAAGAGUGAAAAGGUGUGAAUUAGUUCGAAUUAUUGUGUUAUUUAAUCAUCAAAAUGUCAUCAUUUAUCCACUUGCAGUAUUAAUUUCGAUUCAUAUUUAUGUGGUAUAAUUUUCCUAUCUCUCACGCUGUGUCGCUGUUUGAGUUUUGAUGCAGUUCACGAUACCCAGUAGGAUCUGCUUGUGUUGAUGCUUUCAUCCGUUGACGUUGCUGAAAUUCCGGUAAAGCACAAAUUUUGCAAAAUAUUGAAACUGAGAACGCACGAUGAAUGAGUAGAAGGAUCGAUUUUUCCUGAUAAUUCACACUCAAAUAAGUGUCUGUCAGUCUGAACAUCGCCGCAUUCACACAGAUCAUCAUCAGCCAACUGCCAUCUAUGAAGGUUGUACUUAGACCUUGUGACUCCGCACCUCAAUCUGUUCAGUGUUUUCCACAGUCCAUAUUUGAAGAGUCCAGGGAAAGAAC